rnacentral:tRNA from 1 species
GGGUGUACAUCUCAGUGGUACAGUAGGUGCCUAGCAUGUGUGAGGCCCUGGGUUCAAACCCCAGUUACACCCC